AUUAUUGAUCACUCACAACCUUCAUGCAUACUUCACCAUAUCCAGAACACCCCACACAAAGAUCAAAGAAUUAAGUUAGAUAGUGAAUCAAAAUAUGGAUCUAUGUACAUAAGGUACUAUGGUGACCUCAGAUCUAAGGAUCACUUACAUAACUCCUACUAGAGAAUCAUCAGUUAACAUGUAAAUAAGACUCCAUCUGAUAUUCUUUUGCAGGUUAAUUCAGUAAACUCAUUCUCUAAUGAGCACCCAUAUCCUUGUAUUAGUGUCACCACACAAGUGGUUGU
rnacentral:lncRNA from 1 species